GGAGAGGUGGCCGAGCGGUUGAAGGCGGCAGUCUCGAAAACUGUUAUGCGGGUUUCCCCCGCAUCGGGGGUUCGAAUCCCCCCCUCUCCG
rnacentral:tRNA from 1 species